AAAUUGAAGAGUUUGAUCAUGGCUCAGAUUGAACGCUGGCGGCAGGCCUAACACAUGCAAGUCGAACGGUAACAGGAAUCAGCUUGCUGAUUUGCUGACGAGUGGCGGACGGGUGAGUAAUGUCUGGGAAACUGCCUGAUGGAGGGGGAUAACUACUGGAAACGGUAGCUAAUACCGCAUAACGUCGCAAGACCAAAGAGGGGGACCUUCGGGCCUCUUGCCAUCGGAUGUGCCCAGAUGGGAUUAGCUAGUAGGUGGGGUAACGGC
rnacentral:rRNA from 1 species